rnacentral:rRNA from 1 species
UACGAAGGAUGCAAGCGUUAUCCGGAUUCAUUGGGUUUAAAGGGAGCGUAGGUGGCCUUAUAAGUCAGUGGUGAAAUCUCUGGGCUUAACCCAGAAAUUGCCAUUGAUACUGUAGGGCUUGAGUAUAGUUGCCGUUGGCGGAAUAUGACAUGUAGUGGUGAAAUACAUAGAGAUGUCAUAGAACACCGAUUGCGAAGGCAGCUGACGAAACUAUAACUGACACUGAGGCUCGAAAGUGUGGGGAUCAAACAGG